UGGGGAAUAUUGCACAAUGGGCGCAAGCCUGAUGCAGCCAUGCCGCGUGUAUGAAGAAGGCCUUCGGGUUGUAAAGUACUUUCAGUCGGGAGGAAGGUGUCAAGGUUAAUAACCUUGGCAAUUGACGUUACCGACAGAAGAAGCACCGGCUAACUCCGUGCCAGCAGCCGCGGUAAUACGGAGGGUGCAAGCGUUAAUCGGAAUUACUGGGCGUAAAGCGCACGCAGGCGGUUGAUUGAGUCAGAUGUGAAAUCCCCGGGCUUAACCCGGGAAUUGCAUCUGAUACUGGUCAGCUAGAGUCUUGUAGAGGGGGGUAGAAUUCCAUGUGUGGCGGUGAAAUGCGUAGAGAUGUGGAGGAAUACCGGUGGCGAAGGCGGCCCCCUGAACAAAGACUGACGCUCAGGUGCGAAAGCGUGGGGAGCAAACAGG
rnacentral:rRNA from 1 species